AUGGUAGAAAACCACUACUCCCUCCGUUCGGAAUUACUUGUCUCGGAAAUGGAUGUAUCUAGAACUAAAAUACGUCUAGAUACAUCCAUUUUUGCGACAAGUAAUUCCGAACGGAGGGAGUACUAUGCAGUGAGAAGUAGACAAAAAUCAAGUACCUCAACAAAGUUCUGUGAGAAGAUUAAUCUGGGCUUAAUUCUGCGCUUCAAACUCCUGCUUGCUCAUGAAUAUUGCAACCGGCUCACCAGGGGAAGGCGGAUUCUUGUCCAGCAGAGAAGCAUGCUUUCCAGCUUUGGCACGAGCAGCUCCAUCAAAUGCCGACAGGACCUCAACAUGCUCAAGACCCAACUGCCUUCUGAUCAGCUCCAGGUUCUCCUCAAGCACAUUUAUUUCACCAAAAGGAAGCUUCAAAUUUAG
rnacentral:rRNA from 1 species